CCCUUAGAUGUUCUGGGCCGCACGCGCGCUACACUGACGAAUGCAACGAGCUUAUAACCUUGGCCGAAAGGUCUGGGUAAUCUCCAAAUUUCGUCGUGAUGGGGAUAGAUUAUUGCAAUUAUUAAUCUUCAACGAGGAAUGCCUAGUAAGCGCAAGUCAUCAGCUUGCGUUGAUUACGUCCCUGCCCUUUGUACACACCGCCCGUCGCUCCUACCGAUUGAAUGGUCCGGUGAAGCGUUCGGACCGUGGCCUUUGGACGGUUCGCCGUCUGUUGGCUGCGGGAAGUUCGUUAAACCUUAUCAUUUAGAGGAAGGAGAGNUCGUAACA
rnacentral:rRNA from 1 species